GACGAACGCUGGCGGCGUGCUUAACACAUGCAAGUCGAACGAAGAGCGACGGAAGCUUGCUUCUAUCAAUCUUAGUGGCGAACGGGUGAGUAACGCGUAAUCAACCUGCCCUUCAGAGGGGGACAACAGUUGGAAACGACUGCUAAUACCGCAUACGAUCUAACCUCGGCAUCGAGGAUAGAUGAAAGGUGGCCUCUACAUGUAAGCUAUCACUGAAGGAGGGGAUUGCGUCUGAUUAGCUAGUUGGAGGGGUAACGGCCCACCAAGGCGAUGAUCAGUAGCCGGUCUGAGAGGAUGAACGGCCACAUUGGGACUGAGACACGGCCCAGACUCCUACGGGAGGCAGCAGUGGGGAAGCUUCCGCAAUGGACGAAAGUCUGACGGAGCAACGCCGCGUGAGUGAUGACGGCCUUCGGGUUGUAAAGCUCUGUUAAUCGGGACGAAAGGCCUUCUUGCGAAUAGUGAGAAGGAUUGACGGUACCGGAAUAGAAAGCCACGGCUAACUACGUG
rnacentral:rRNA from 1 species